rnacentral:rRNA from 1 species
CGGGACGGGGUGGAGUAAUGUCUGGGAAACGUGCCUGAUGGAGGGGGGUAACUACUGGAAACGGUAGCUAAUACCGCAUAACGUCGCAAGACCAAAAGAAGGGGGGACCGUUCGGGCCUCUUGCCAUCGGAUGUGCCCAGAUGGGAUUAGCUAGUAGGUGGGGUAACGGCUCACCUAGGCGACGAUCCCUAGCUGGUCUGAGAGGAUGACCAGCCACACUGGAACUGAGACACGGUCCAG